rnacentral:lncRNA from 1 species
AGGACAAGCAGGUUCAAGCUCCUGAGGCCCUCCUGGCCCAGUGGGACAGGACAAGCAGGUUCAAGCUCCUGAGGUCUUCCUGGCCAGAUGAGACAGGAUAAGCAGCUUCAAGAUCCUGAGGCCCUCCUGACCAGGUCACACAGGACAAGCAGCUUCAAGUUCCUGUGGCCAUAUUGGCCCAGUGAGACAGGGCAAGCAGCUUCAAGAUCCUGAGGCCCUCCUGGUCAGAUGAGACAGGACAUGCAGGUUGAAGCUCCUGAGGUCGUCCAGGCCAGGUGUGACAGGACAAGUAGAUUCAAGCUCUUGAGGCCCUCCUGGCCCAGUGAGACAGGACAAGCAGGUUCAAGCUCCUGAGGCUGUCCAGGCCAGGUGAGACAGGACAAGCAGCUUCAAGCCCCUGUGGCCAUCCUGGCCCAAUGAGACAGGAAAAGCAGCUUCAAGCUCCUGAGGC